rnacentral:rRNA from 1 species
AAUACGGAAGGGUGCAAGCGUUGCUCGGAAUUUAGUUGGGACGUAAAGCGUACGCAGGCGGUCUACCAAGGUCGGGUGUAGAAACGCCCCGGGCUCGAACCCGGGAAGUGCACUCGAUACUGCGAGACUGGAGUACUGGAGAGGAGAGCGGAAUUCUCGGUGUAGAGGUGAAAUUCGUAGAUAUCGGGAGGAACACCAGCGGCGAAGGCGGCUCUCUGGACAGAUACUGACGCUGAGGCGCGAAAGCGUGGGAAGCAAACAGGAUUAGAUACCCUGGUAGUCCACGCUGUAAACGAUGGCAACUGGGUGUCUCGGGUAUUGACCCCGAUGCGCCGAAGUCAACACGUUAAGUUGCCCGCCUGGGAAGUACGGCCGCAAGGCUAAAACUCAAAGGAAUUGACGGU